rnacentral:miRNA from 3 species
AGAAGAGAGAGAGUACAGCCC